UGUGAGAGUCUAAUGGCCUUCAGUCUCAACACCAGUAUCUUGAGUUCGAAAAUGCGCUCAGGUGAUAUUCAAACGCUCUCCUGAGAAGAGUUCUGGUCAUGAUAAUGGUAAACUUCUUGAGAACUGUGUACCAAAAAACCUUCGGAAAACUGCUGACAUCAAUGGAUCACUUGCUGAUGAGCUAGGUGACCAAGCUGGAGAAAUACCUCAAGUUGGUGGUGCAAAAGUUAGUAAGAAAAGGAAUUAUUCGUUCUCAUAUGAUCCGAGUGAAGUUUUUGUAGAGCCAAGACGGAAGUACCAAAGGAGCACUAUUCAGACAGUAAUUGGAGGGGAAAUUACUUUGAACAACCGCCCAUCAGUUCAAGAGGAGAAGUGCUCCAAGAAUGAACAUGAUGCCGCCCCACUUGAAUACGGCAAUAAAGGUUCAUAGAACCCGGGAAUACCAGUAGACUCAGCUUCAUC